UAUUAAUGUUUUUUCUCUCUUCUACAAAAUGUUUUGUAACGACAAGCCUCGCCCGUCUACGAAGAUUCGGUCCCCGCGCUCCCUCUGCAUUGACUUUUACUGUAGUGAAAAUUCUUAACUGGACAUGUAUUUCAUGUCUGUCUAACCACUGCAAAAACGUGUCCACUGCUUCCACCACAGAUUCCAUAUAUCUCCAAAAUCCUUUUUAUUUUUCCUUAUUCUUUGUACACAGGUUACAAUUAAACAUUAACCAAAAACUGAUAAUUACAUUAAAACAAAUUCUCUCUUUCUAAAAUAAAACUUAUCAUUCUUCAGUACGAGCCGACAAUAUACUUCUACAA
rnacentral:lncRNA from 1 species